rnacentral:misc_RNA from 1 species
GAUGAAGAACGCAGCGAAAUGCGAUACUUGGUGUGAAUUGCAGAAUCCCGUGAACCAUCGAGUCUUUGAACGCAAGUUGCGCCCGAAGCCAUUAGGCCGAGGGCACGCCUGCCUGGGCGUCACACGUCGUUGCCCCCCCAUCUACUCCUUCGGGAUUGCGGGGGGCGGAUGAUGGCCUCCCGUGCGCCUCGCCGCGCGGUUGGCAUAAAUGCCAAGUCCUCGGCGACGCACGCCACGACAAUCGGUGGUUGCGAAACCUCGGUUGCCCGUCGUGUGCGGUCGUCGCGCAUCGAGGGCUCGAAAAAAUUGCCGGGCUCCGGCUCGGCUUUCAACGCGACCCCAGGUCAGGCGGGGUUACCCGCUGAAUUUAAGCAUAUCAAUAAGCGGAGGA